rnacentral:lncRNA from 1 species
GUCGUCAUCAUCCUUUAUUCGUUCCUAAGGAACAGGAAAAUAAUGAGAAUACCUAAUAACUAAGGGUGAGAUGCUAGGUUCGGGAGUCAGUUAAGUACGGAAAAUAUACUAUGCACCCCUUACCUUCAUUGCACUCAAUGAGGUCCUCCUUCAAUUCUAGGGUUAGUGUGGGUUUACAAAUGUUCGUUUGAUUAUUGUGUAAU